rnacentral:lncRNA from 1 species
CUAGCCGGUGGUUCAGGUGGCCGGUCGGGCUGGAAGGGCGGGGAUGAGGGAUGGGACGCAUCCCCGGGGGAUGCUCCUCCAAAGCUUUUAUCGGGCGAGCGCAGUGGCUCACGCCUGUAAUUCCUGCACUUUGGGAGGCUAAGAGAUGGGGUUUCACCAUAUUGGCUAUGCUGGUCUCGAACUCCUGACCUUGUGAUCCACCUGCCUUGGCCUCCCAAAGUGCUGGGAUUACAGGAUGAAAGGCUUCCUAGCACAAACACCACCCCUGGAGUUCCCGGUACAUCAAUACCAGCCUGGGGAUCACGUUCUCAUCAAGAGUUGGAAGAGGGAAAGCUUGAACCAGCUUAGGAGGACCUCAUCUGGUACUCUUGAUGAAUGAAACAGCAAUCUGAAUGGCUGAAAAAGGAUGGACCCAGCACUCCAGGGAGAAAACUUGGCAUUCUUUGGGAAUCUAACAGGAUGCAGUGAACCCAAGCCUUUUGAAGAGCUCACCAAUCAGACUGCCCUUGUCUAUCCAUGAGCAGAUGUUUGAUAGUAUUGCGGAGGCCCUCUAGUGGGUAUGCUGCCAAGCAACUGGAGUGGCACUUGGGCUCUAAUCCAGUUGUCUAUCCCUUUCACCCUGGCAUUUCAUCAGCCAAACAAAAACCAACUAACUCAGAAAAAAAGGAAAGCCCCUCAAGGGUCCUUUGACCCCGAUAUCUACAUAGAUGCUAUCGGGGUCCCCUGAGGGGUACCAAACGAAUUCAAAGCUCGAAAUCAAAUAGCUGCUGGAUUCAAGUCUGUCCUUUUCUUGUGGUCUACUAUAAAUAAAAAUGUAGACUGGAUAAAUUACAUAUACUAUAACCAACAACGAUUUGUCAGUUACACCAGGGAUGCCAUUAAAGGAAUAGCUGAACAAUUGGGUUUCACCAGCCAAAUGGCCUGGGAAAAUAGAAUAGCUCUUGACAUGAUAUUAGUGGAAGUCCAAUGUUGUACCUGUAUCCCCAAUAAUACAGCCCCUGAUGUAACUAUCACUAAGGGUCUAUAAGGCCUCACCACUCUAGGAAAUGAACUAGCUGAAAAUUCGGGAAUGAAUGAUCCCUUUACAGGUGUAAUGGAAAAAAUGGUUUGGUAGAUGGAAAGGACUAAUGGCCUCUAUUCUCACCUCCCUUGUGAUCAUAAUAGGGGUGCUCAUUCUCUUAGGGUGCUGUAUUAUACCCUGUGUCUGCGGACUAGUUCAAAAGCUCAUAGAAACAGCCCUUACCAAGACCUCCCACAACUCUCCCCCACCCUAUUCAGAUAAACGUUUAUUUCUAAGCAACCAAGAAGAGCAGUGAAGCCAGAUCCUGUUAGAAAUAUAUGAAGAGGAAGGACUACAAAAUCAAAAGGGGAAAAUUAUUAGACAAAAUGAGUUGCUCUACAAAGGUCCAACUUCGUUGUCCUUUGUUCUGUAACCUUUGUUCUGUAAACUGCCCUUCCCGCAGAAACUGUCUUUCCCGCCGACCAAAACUGCCCUUCACUAUCACUGUAAUCCAUACCCCUACUCUAUUUGAAACUGCCAAUCGGGAUCAGCUUACAUUGUGUGGUUCAACCACCAGCCAAUGAGGAAAAAACACAGAAGCAAAAGCUAUGAUGCAUUAGGGUUAAAAACCCCUUCCUUUCCCUGUCCAAUGUGCUCUUGAGACUGCUACAGGCGCAAGCAGCCACCUUCUGCAGAAGUAAACCUUGCCUUGCUGAGAAAUUUUUCUUUUGAGUGCUGGUCUCUCUCUGUGGCACCAAGAACUUAUUUCUAACAUGGAGUGAUUUCCAAGAUAGAUGGUUAAGUGAAAAUAAAAACUGUUGCCAGGCACGGUAGCUCAUGCCUGUAAUCCCAGCACUUUGGGAGUCUGAGGAGGUUGGAUUAUUUGAGGUCAGGAGUUUGAGACCAGCCUAGCCAACAUGGUGAAAUCCUGUCUCUUCUAAAUAUACAAAAAAUUAGCCGGGCGUGGUUGUGGGUGCCUGUAAUCCCAGCUACUUGGGAAGCUGAGGCAGAAGAAUUGCUUAAACCCAGGAAGCAGAGGUUGCAGUGAGCCGAGAUCACAGCACUGCACUCCAGCCUGGGUGAUAGAGUGAGACUCGGUCUCAAAAACAAUAAUAAUAAUAAUAAUAAUACAAAUAAAAAAAUGAAAAUAAAGGCCAGGUGCUGUGGCUCACCCCUCUAAUCCCAGCACUUUGGGAGGCUGAGGCAGGUGGAUCACAAGGUCAGGAGUUCAAAACCAGCCUGGCCAAGAUGGUGAAACCCCGUCUCUACUAAAAAUACAAAAAUUAGCUGGGCACAGUGGCAGGCGCCUGUAAUCCCAGCUACUUGGGAGGCUGAGGCAGGAUAAUUGCUUAAACCUGGGUGGCAGAGGUUGCAGUGAGCCAAGAUCAUGCCACUGCACUCCAGCCUGGGC